CGAAUCAUUAUAUGCUGCUCUA
rnacentral:miRNA from 1 species